CCUACGGGUGGCUGCAGUGGGGAAUAUUGCACAAUGGGGGAAACCCUGAUGCAGCGACGCCGCGUGAGUGAAGAAGUAAUUCGUUAUGUAAAGCCCUAUCAGCAGGGAAGAAAAUGACGGUACCUGAGUAAGAAGCCCCGGCUAACUACGUGCCAGUAGCCGCGGCAAAACGUAGGGGGCAAGCGUUAUCCGGAUUUACUGGGCGUAAGGGGGGCGUAGGCGGUGUUGCAAGUCUGAAGUGAAAUGCCGCAGCUUAACUGCGGAACUGCCUUUGAAACUGGCGAACUAGAGUGGGGGAGGGGUAGGCGGAAUUCCCAGUGUAGCGGUGAAAUGCGUAGAUAUCGGGAGGAACCCCGGUGGCGAAGGCAGCAUACUGGACCGUAACUGACGCUGAGGCACGAAAGCGUGGGGAGCAAACAGGAUUAGAUACCCUAGUAGUC
rnacentral:rRNA from 1 species